UGACGCUAGAAGCAUGUGACUGGCCAGUCUGGAUGACGUAAUAAAAUCUGGAGGGAAGAAAAAGGAACUCGCUCUCAAUACUAUUAGAUCCAGUGAGUCGGCUACCGGCGAGGAGAAAGCUGAUCGGAACUGAAGACUAAAAGCUCUGAAGUUGAACACCUGUAAGGAAUAUAGUUUAUUUGAACAGGAAACAUGGGUGACAUUGAAAAGGGAAAGAAGGCUUUUCCUACACGGAUGCCAACAAAGCCAAAGGCAUUGUCUGGGACACUGAUACCCUCAUGACUUACUUGGAGAACCCCAAGAAAUACAUUCCAGGAACAAAGAUGAUCUUUGCUGGCAUCAAGAAGAAGGGAGAACGUGCAGAUCUCAUAGCAUAUUUGAAGUCUGCAACUUCGUAGACUAAUGUCUACAUUUUGUUCAACGUUAUUAUUAUUUUUGUCUUCGAGAAAUAUCAACUGUUCAGAGGAGGGGGGGGAUCUUUCAAGAAGCUUAGACUCGUAUUCAUAACAGUUAUGCCUUAUGUCUGGUGAUUUGUUGUGGCUUUCAAUAGCCUGCAUGACAUAACUGCUGGGACUCAAUGGCAUUUGCAUGAUCAGUUGCCAUAUUGAUCACAGCUGUGUCUUUGUUUCUCCAUUUUGAUGGCGUAUAUUAUAUCCCCUGGUUUAACAGGUGCUAAUAUACAUCAAUUAUUGAGCCAUAGACUAAGUGUUCCAGAAUGUAUUGAGUCAAAGCUGUGUGACUAAAUGCUUUGAAACAACAAAUAGUCUAAAUUACACAUUGUAUGGUUACUGGUUUAAAUACUUGCAUGGCUAAUGCAAGCGGUCAAUCAGAUUUGGAAAGGUUUCUAAAUUUCAAAGGGUUACCUUGAAAGUGAUCCCUGGUAAUGUCUUCAUGUUGCUAAUACUUCAUAUUUCUUUAUGUAGGUUUGUUAAUUUAAUAAAUUACAUGCUAAACAAGUAUCCCAAUUGUUUUGUGGUCAAGGAUCAGGAAGGCAACACUGCUACUUCCUCCCUCUCUAACCAAGGUGCAGGAAUUGAGAAAAAACCCUGAAGGCUUAAAGGCAAGAGCUGGCAAUCUAACUAAUCUGAUUGGUCCCAGAAACGGGUUGGGUCAGAGCCAGAACACGUGGUUAAUGCAGUUUUGAACCUUUGUCAUUUGCUUUGAUAAUCUGGUUAGAUAUGAUCCAAUCGCUGAUGACUAGACCUCACCACAAACUACUUCAACGAUGGCAGUCUGAAGUACGAAGCGAAAUUAUUCUGUUUGAGUCGUCAGGUAAAUAUAAGGCCC
rnacentral:lncRNA from 1 species